AGCAGCCGCGGUAAUUCCAGCUCCAAUAGCGUAUAUUAAAGUUGCUGCAGUUAAAAAGCUCGUAGUUGAAUUUCGGGACCAUCAUGUCGGUCGUGCCUCGGUACGUACUGGCAUUGUUGGUUUCUACCUUCUGACGAACCAUGAUGUCAUUUAUUUGGUGUCGUGGGGAAUCAGGACUGUUACUUUGAAAAAUUAGAGUGUUUAAAGCAGGCUCACGCUUGAAUACAUUAGCAUGGAAUAAUGAAAUAGGACGUUUGAUUCUAUUUUGUUGAUUUCUAGGAUCGACGUAAUGAUUAAUAGGGAUAGUUGGGGGCAUUAGUAUUCAAUUGUCAGAGGUGAAAUUCUUGGAUUUAUUGAAGACUAACUACUGCGAAAGCAUUUGCCAAGGAUGUUUUCAUUAAUCAAGAACGAAAGUUAGGGAUCGAAGACGAUCAGAUACCGUCGUAGUCU
rnacentral:rRNA from 1 species